AAGUCGUAACAAGGUUUCCGUAGGUGAACCUGCGGAAGGAUCAUUACCACAUUAUAAUCGGGGGGGAGACUUCGGUUUCCCCUGUCUGAACCCUUGUCUUUUGCGUACUAUCUGUUUCCUUGGUGGGCUUGCCCGCCGAUAGGACAACCAUUAAACCUUUUGUAAUUGCAAUCAGCGUCAGAAAAACAUAAUAAUUACAACUUUCAACAACGGAUCUCUUGGUUCUGGCAUCGAUGAAGAACGCAGCGAAAUGCGAAAAGUAGUGUGAAUUGCAGAAUUCAGUGAAUCAUCGAAUCUUUGAACGCACAUUGCGCCCCUUGGUAUUCCAUGGGGCAUGCCUGUUCGAGCGUCAUUUGUACCUUCAAGCUCUGCUUGGUGUUGGGUGUUUGUCCCGCUUUUUGCGUGGACUCGCCUCAAAGCAAUUGGCAGCCGGCGUACUAGCCUGGGAGCGCAGCACAUUUUGCGAAUCUCGACUGGAACGCUUGCGUCCAUUAAGCCUUUUUUUAACUCUUGACCUCGGAUCAGGUAGGGAUACUCGCUGAACUUAA
rnacentral:rRNA from 1 species